rnacentral:misc_RNA from 1 species
AAAGACACCUUGUUAGGGAUGUUCCAGUGCAAAUUCGAAUUUAAGCUGAUCCCAAUAUGGAUAUCAAACACAGAAAACCCAAAAAAAAAAAAGUAGUGAACAUAGCCAUCUAGUGUUACAACUUGCACCUUUAUUAUUCUUACUAUACUAUGGCUGAUGCAUCAACAGAACAUUUAAUUUGUGACGACGAGGGCGGAUAAAUCAGAUAAUAAUCUACCGGGCAUUUUCAUGGACUAAAAUGUUAGCAGGCUUUCCCUGCUGAGCCAAACAGACGCAUCUUUUCAGCAAUCACUGCUUUCAUGGCUUCUUUUGCAGAAGCCAUGACAUUGAUGAGAUCCUUCUUAUUGGGGCUACUCAGUGCAUCCAUAUAAGCCUUGCGCACUUCAGUAUUAACAUUGAACUUUCUGACACCAAGCUUUAUACAUUCCUCUAUUAUUUCCUUUGACAGCCCAGAAGCUCCAUGAAGAACAACAUGCACUCCUUUCUUUGAACACAAGCCAUAGAGGUCCUUCAGCAGAUCAAGUCUAAGAUUUGGACCACUUGGAGGAUAUUUCCCAUGAACAUUUCCGAUGCACACUGCCAAAGCAUCUAUGGCUGUCGCAUCAAUGAAUUCAUGUGCCUGAUUAACAUCAGUCAGCUUUGCUUCAUAGUCUGCUACAGUCAAAUCAUCUUCAGUACCUGACAAUCUUCCCAAUUCAGCUUCUACCAACAUCUUUUUCGAGUGCGCCAAGGAAGAAAUGCACUUCGUAUAGGAAACAUUAUCCUUGAAAGGAAGGUGUGAGCCAUCUACCAUGAGUGAGUCAAAUCCCAUCUCAAGAACUUCCAACAACUCUUGCUUGGAAUUUCCAUGGUCAAAGUGAACUGUUAUAGGAACAGAUGCUUGUUCUGCAGCUGAUAUGCAACAUGCAACGAGUGGAACUCCUCCUUCCUUUAGUGCACUAGGAUGGAUCUGUAAGAUAGCAGGACUAUUUUCCUCCUCUGCUGCAGCAACAACUGCCUCAACUCCUUCCAAAUUGUAGACAUUAAAAGCACCAACAGCGUAGCUUCCCCUCUCAGCUUCCAGUAGGAGUUCCAUAGUUGAUAAUCUGCCAGGAUGAGCCCAGCGUUUCACCACCUCUGCGAGAGCUUUACUGUCGCCAACAUUACCUGGGAAGACAAUAUAAGGAACCUUUGGAUGUCUGCUUUCAGGACCUAGCUGCCAUACCGGAAUACCAGCAAGAGCUUGUCCCACUACUUUAGCACGUUUUGCUUCUAAAGCUUUUGUGGCAAGAUCUGAUGAGGUAAUUCCUCCCUUUGCAAGAAUAUAACGAGGCCUCGUUGUUAUCCUCCUAGCUAUCUCCACCAGUGCUGAGCUUACCUUGAAAUUGAUCUCUAAACUCUCAGAAGGAGUUUUGCCUGUGAUCAGCUCUCUACUGGUCAUUAUGAAAGUAUCUUUAUGAUUUCUAAGGUAAACGUCUGCCAUUUCAGCAGCUCGAUUGAUUUCUUCCUCCCUCGUUUCUGAUGACUCCAUGGCAACUUUAUUUACUGAAAUCUCUAUAGUCUUCAAAACAUGACCAUAUUGUAGUUUUAGUUCUUCAACCUGCUUUGUUGUUUUUGGAACAUAUGAACCCACAACAAUAAGUCCACCAUUUCUUUCUCUACUUAUUCCAAUAUCAUUUGGCAAAAUUGGAGAUUUUUGGAUGAUUCCAACUCGAGUAGAAACAAAACUGGCAGCAGUACGGCACAAAAAGUGUUUUCCUUUUAGUUCUGCCUUUAUCAUUCCAGCGGCAAAUACAGUCAUGUCUCUUUCACUAGCUGCAUUGACUAUACAUGUUGAACCCUUCUGUAAAUUACAGAGAUGUUCACAAACAGCAUCUGGUCCACCAUUUCUUAAAAGCUGGAUGGAGAUUGAUGAAACACUGCUAGCAGGUCUCUGGCCCUUUGUUUUUUCUUCUACCCACUCUCGGAGGUUGGAAGAUUUGUAUCCAAAUGCAGCAUCUUUAGCAAAUUCUGUUUCACCUGCGGGAACAAGCCUAUCAGAAUCUGCAACAUAAUGUGUAUCUCCAAUGGUAUAACGGCCUCCUUGUAAGAAAAAGGGGCAGAUAAUCCAUGCGUCCAUCUCACCCAGUACAGAAACAGCUGCAUCUGCUUCCUCAGGGAAAUGACCUCGUAAGGUUGAAUCACCCCUCAGAACCACUGUGUAGUCUGCUUUUUCCACUGACUUGGCAGCAGAAUCAAUGUUCCUGCAGAUAUCUGCUAUCAAUGCACUAGCCUUCUCAGAGGUCAAUGCUCUGGAAUUAGUCAAAAUGAAAAAACAUUUAGGCCUCUUUUUGAACUCUUCAAUGAGUGACUCAAUGCUCCAUUCUGUCAGGACCUCAAUAUCGUGAACAGUUUGAGUCCCAGUUGGAUCAUCAUCCAGAACAAUUAAAGUCCUCAAACUAUUCUCUGUUAGUGUACGUAUUUCAUUGAUCGGAUCCACUGGCCACUCAGGAGGAAGGGACUGCAAUGCAGAUUCUUUGUUGAGAACAGGAAGUUUGCCUUCAACUUUGACUCCACUCAGCGUCUCAUAAACCUUUACUACAGCAGCAUCAUCCAAUCUGCCCCAUCCAGCAGCAGAACCUGACAGGAAUAACUGGUGUGCAAUGUUUGCAAUAUGAAGCGGCACUCUGCCUGAUGAGCCUUCACGAGAAACAAUGCCCAG